AACCUGGUUGAUCCUGCCAGUAGUCAUAUGCUUGUCUCAAAGAUUAAGCCAUGCAUGUCUAAGUAUAAGCAAUUAUACGGCGAAACUGCGAAUGGCUCAUUAUAUAAGUUAUCGUUUAUUUGAUAGUACCUUACUACUUGGAUAACCGUGGUAAUUCUAGAGCUAAUACAUGCUAAAAAUCCCGACUUCGGAAGGGAUGUAUUUAUUAGAUUAAAAACCAAUGCCCUUCGGGGCUCACUGGUGAUUCAUGAUAACUUCUCGAAUCGCAUGGCCUUGUGCCGGCGAUGGUUCAUUCAAAUUUCUUCCCUAUCAACUUUCGAUGUUUGGGUAUUGGCCAAACAUGGUUGCAACGGGUAACGGAGGGUUAGGGCUCGACCCCGGAGAAGGAGCCUGAGAAACGGCUACUGCAUCCAAGGAAGGCAGCAGGCGCGCAAAUUACCCAAUCCCGACUCGGGGAGGUAGUGACAAUAAAUACUGAUACAGGGCUCUAUUGGGUCUUGUAAUUGGAAUGAGUACAAUUUAAAUCCCUUAACGAGGAACAAUUGGAGGGCAAGUCUGGUGCCAGCAGCCGCGGUAAUUCCAGCUCCAAUAGCGUAUAUUAAAGUUGUUGUGGUUAAAAAGCUCGUAGGUGAACCUGCAGAAGGAUCAA
rnacentral:rRNA from 1 species